GAUCCUGGCUCAGGAUGAACGCUAGCUGCAGGCUUAACACAUGCAAGUCGAGGGGCAGCAUCACCAAAGCUUGCUUUGAUGGAUGGCGACCGGCGCACGGGUGAGUAACACGUAUCCAACCUGCCGACAACACUGGGAUAGCCUUUCGAAAGAAAGAUUAAUACCGGAUGGCAUAGUUUUCCCGCAUGGGAUAAUUAUUAAAGAAUUUCGGUUGUCGAUGGGGAUGCGUUCCAUUAGG
rnacentral:rRNA from 1 species